AAAAUUUGUUUAAAAAUCUACCCUAACAUGAUACUCUCAAAACAAGCACAUUAUACUCUAUAAUAUCUUAGCAAAUUCAUAAGACCACUAAGAAACAGAUCAAUUUGCAUCUUAUCUAUAAUCUCCCAGAACAUAGAAGAAAAUACCUUCUAAUUUUUUUCUUGUGGUUAUAUCACAUACAUGAGGUAGUAAUAUACAAGAAAAAAUAAUAGUCAAGAAGAAAAUUACUAAUCAUCCUCACGUGUGAUUGAUGCCAAAAUCUGAAACAAGACAUUUGUAACCAGAAUUCAGCAGUCUGUUCUAAAAAUUCACAACAUGAGCAAGUAGCAUUUAUUCUGUUAAAGGUAGCUCAGCACUCAGCUAUCUGUAAUAUUAAAUCCAAUAUAUCAAGAAAUCAAUAUGAUCACUUCCAUACAUUUCAACGUGGCAUUCAAUGAUUCAGUGUCCAUUCCUAACAAAUGAGAAAUGGAUCUAUGUGUCCUCAACAUGACUCUGCACACACACACAUAGACACAUGCAUAAGUACCAGGAUCAUACAAGUAAUGUUGAAAACAUCUCCAUCAGAGCCAGGAACCAUACAGAGAAGUCUACUAUUUAUAUUAUCAUAAUUAUUUAUCAUUUUGCUAGUGGUACAUGCUAAUCUAAUUAUAAGAGGGGAAAAUAAAAGAAGAAUACAAAUUAGAGGGAUUGAAGGUAUCACUUUGGAAAGAUUACAUUAUUAUAUUCGUAAAAAUUCUAGAAUGAUUGAUUGUAAAACGUUAUAAACCAUAGAGAAACAAACAUGACAACUGAGUAUUUGAAAUCAAGAGACUUCAAUAUGUAAAAACAACAUCAAUUAGAAUAAAUUAUUGAUUAAAAAGCACAUUUACAAAAAGUGACUGUAGCACUUUUCCCAAGUCAGUCAAAAAUGUCUCUAGACAUUAACCAAUAUUCCUUGGGAGCAAAAUCCACUCUGAUUUAGAACCACUGAUCUGAGUGUCCCUCAGUAAGAGCAUUAAAUAAAGUAUGAUCUAAUUGAACAAUGAAAUAAUAGAACUAAAAGAGAACAAUGCAGUUCUAUUAGAACUGAAAUGGAAAGCACUCUAGAUCGUAUUGUUAAACAAGCCAAAUAAGGUUUGGAACGGUGUGGAGAUUGUUUUUUAUUAGUUAUUUUAUGUGUUUGAAAGAUUUAUUAAAUGGAAAAUGAUUAGGGAUAUCUGCACACAUGUGCUGCUUGGGUAUGCAUAGAUUAUUCCUGGGAGAACAGAGAAACAACUGUCAAGAGAGGGCAAGUAGGAGCUGGGGUUGUGGCUCAGCAGCAGAGGACUCGUCUAGGAUGCAUGAGGCACUGAAUUCAAUCCCUGGCACCACAUAAAGAUAAACAACAAAAAAGGUUCCUAUAAAAAAAAAAAGAGAGAGAGGGCACAUAGGUCGAUGGAGGCCAAAAGAGGGAGGAGGGUGAUGACCAACAUUGCUGCAGGCUCCUCAUCUUAACAGAGCCCCUGAUAUGCCUGGAGAAAGUUUAGAGUGAAUUGAGACAGGUAGAAUCCUGGUGGACACAUGGAAACAAACUUGGCUAGUUGUCUAAGUGAUAUCCAACACAAAUUGUCUCGUGGAUCUCCUAUUGACCACAAGAUUGAUGCUGGCCUCGUGGGGGCAAACAAACCAUGGAAAUAAGCUCCAUUGAAGCAAAUGUUUUCAACCACUUGG
rnacentral:lncRNA from 1 species